rnacentral:lncRNA from 1 species
UCAAUUAUAUCUCAUAUCAACUAAAUAAUCAAUUAACACACCAAAUUAAUUAAUAUAAUCAAUUAUUAUACCACCUAACAACCAAUUAAUUAAUUAACACUCCAAAUAAAUAAAAUAUAAUAUAAUAAUAAUAAUGUACUAAUUAAAUACUAAAUAAAAUACGAAAAUUGGAAAAUUAGCGUUUUGGGCUGACACGGGAGGCCGUGUCAU